rnacentral:lncRNA from 1 species
CAUGAUUGUAAAUCAAAUGUUUACAAAACUUUCUAAGCAUGGUGUAGACGAAACGAGCAGAUAUAUAUUUUCACUCAAUUUAAAAAUAAAAAAUGUUGUUCGAUUCCCAAUGAGUCAAUGAAACAAAUCCCUACAAGUGACCAAAUGAAUUUGAAAUCAACAACUAUAAGCCACCGUACGGCCUUCAACAAUGAACAAAGCAUAUAUCACAUAGUCAGCUAUCGCUAUCAAAGACCCACA